rnacentral:rRNA from 1 species
GAUGAACGCUGGCGGCGUGCCUAAUACAUGCAAGUCGAGCGAACGGACGAGAAGCUUUCUUUUCUUAUGUUAGCGGCGGACGGGUGAUUAACACGUGGAUAACCUACCUAUAAGACUGGGAUAACUUCGGGAAACCUGAUCUAAUACCGGAUAAUAUUUUGAACCGCAUGGUUCAAAAGUGAAAGACGGUCUUGCUGUCACUUAUAGAUGGAUCCGCGCUGCAUUAGCUAGUUGGUAAGGUAACGGCUUACCAAGGCAACGAUGCAUAGCCGACCUGAGAGGGUGAUCGGCCACACUGGAACUGAGACACGGUCCAGACUCCUACGGGAGGCAGCAGUAGGGAAUCUUCCGCAAUGGGCGAAAGCCUGACGGAGCAACGCCGCGUGAGUGAUGAAGGUCUUCGGAUCGUAAAACUCUGUUAUUAGGGAAGAACAUAUGUGUAAGUAACUGUGCACAUCUUGACGGUACCUAAUCAGAAAGCCACGGCUAACUACGUG